UACGUAGGGUGCAAGCGUUAAUCGGAAUUACUGGGCGUAAAGGGCGCGUAGGCGGCCUUCUAAGUCGAACGUGAAAUCCCUGGGCUCAACCCAGGAACUGCGUCCGAUACUGGAAGGCUUGAAUCCGGGAGAGGGAUGCGGAAUUCCUGGUGUAGAGGUGAAAUUCGUAGAUAUCAGGAGGAACACCAGUGGCGAAGGCGGCUUUCUGGACGGUAACUGACGCUGAGACGCGAAAGCGUGGGGAGCAAACAGG
rnacentral:rRNA from 1 species